rnacentral:rRNA from 1 species
GACGAACGCUGGCGGCAUGCCUAACACAUGCGAGUCGAACGGAGAUUAUUUCGGUAAUCUUAGUGGCGAACGGGUGAGUAACGCGUGGGCAACCUGCCCUCUAGAUGGGGACAACAUCCCGAAAGGGGUGCUAAUACCGAAUGUGACAGCAAUCUCGCAUGAGGAUGCUGUGAAAGAUGGCCUCUAUUUAUAAGCUAUCGCUAGAGGAUGGGCCUGCGUCUGAUUAGCUAGUUGGUGGGGUAACGGCCUACCAAGGCGAUGAUCAGUAGCCGGUCUGAGAGGAUGAACGGCCACAUUAGGACUGAGACACGGCCCAGACUCCUACGGGAGGCAGCAGUGGGGAAUCUUCCGCAAUGGGCGAAAGCCUGACGAAGCAAUGCCGCGUGAGUGAUGAAGGAAUUCGUUCCGUAAAGCUCUUUUGUUUAUGACGAAUGUGCAGAUUGUGAACAAUGAUCUGUAAUGACGGUAGUAAACGAAUAAGCCACGGCUAACUACGUG